rnacentral:lncRNA from 1 species
CCUUUAUAUUUUUAUUCAAGUUUGUGUUGCUUUAUAGAUACAGACAAUGAUUGCCUAUCAUUUAGGAAAGGAAAUGGCAGAGGACAAAUCUGUCUAAGGUUAUUCUAGAAGCACUUUACUAGUUUUCACUACAGCUUUAUAAUUAUGUUUUAAUUAUUUUUGAGCAACUUCUAUUAGAUUUUGUUUGUUUUUUUAAUAAUGAUUUUUAGUUUUCCAUUAUAGUUGGUUUAUAGUGUUCUGUCAAUUUUCUACUACUGUACAGCAAAGUGACCCAGUCACACAUACAUAUAUAUACAUACAUAUAUAUAUAUAUACACAUUCUUUUUCUCACAUUAUCAUGCUCCAUCACAAGUGACUAGAUAUAGUCCCAGUGCUACCCAGCAGGAUCUCACUGUUGAUCCAUUCCAACAAUUCAGGAAACGUUAGCGAGAUGUUCUAACAACUAAAUUAAUUAACUAAUAAAGGCAUACCUCCUUUUAUGCAACUGCCUUAUUUGUGUUAGUUUCCGCCUAGCUUUCUCUCCUAAUCUACGGAAAUGAGAGUAAUGGAGGUGAGACCAGAGAGGUGGGCAGACAGACACCGGAACAUUCGGGGCCAGGCAGGGGUCUCAGAGAAUUAGGGGUUUACCCUGAAGCCUCGGAGGAACCACCAAAGACUUGAACUCGGAACGAGCAGGCCCACAUGUGUGCUUUGGGGUCAUCACUCUCAUUGCAAAGUGGACACAGAUCAGUGUGGGUGAAACGGGGGCAAGGAGAUGCAUUUGAAGGCUGCUGUGCUCAUCCAGGUGAGAGGAGCUGGCUGUGAAAGAUGGUGGUGGAAGUCGGCUAGAGAUCACAGAAGCAACGCAUAUUCUUUCACCUCUCUUCCUAUUUCACAUGGGACUAAAUGCAAACUCACAUGUUCUAAUAAUAAGCACAUCAAACUCUUUUCAAAGUUCAAAAUACCAUCCUUAAAGCAACAAUGAGUUUUAAAGUAGAUAGCAGCCUUCUAGAAAGGAAAGGGGGAAGCGAAUUGGUGUUCUCUGCCUGGCAGUGGACAAGUGAAAGGCAGAGCAAGGCUGUGUCAUUUCCUCACUUCCUGGUACCCAUGGCUGACGUUAUCCAUUACGACUAUUUAGCCUAGCUUCUAAACUCUAGUUGUGUUCCUCAGUACUUAUUUUGACAAGCGAGUUCUUCCUGAAGCCCCAGAUGCAUUGCUGUUAUGUCAAACUUUACUUCUCCCCUGUAGCAAAGAAUUUGCUCUUUUGGCUGGCAGGAUGUUUCUCAUGAAUGAGCUGGAGAGAACUCUGGGAAAUUUCUCUGUCCCUGGGUGAGGGAUUCCUUAACUGUGAAUUAUUAAGGCCAUAGAGAUGCAUCCAAAAGUAGCAGGAAUCAGCUAGAAAAUAAUGAUCUUUGAAUUUCUACAUAUUUUGCUAUUAAGUGACAUUGACUGGAACCAUAGUCUUCUAGCCUUAGUCACUGAAAAAUGUGAAUAAAAUAUACACUCAUUUUACCCUCAGCUUUUCUUCUAAGUCUGGUUUUGGCAAACUACAACCCGAAAAUCAAAUCCAGCAAACCAAACCCUUUUGUAAUUAAAGUUUUAUUGGAACCCAGCCCCACCUAUUGUUUCUAUAUUGUCUCUGACAACUUUCACUUUCCAUCGUCUGAGCUGGAGUUGGGACAAAGACCUUACAGGUCACAAAGCCAAAAACAUUUACUAUGUGUUCCCUACAGAAAAAGUCUGUAGGACCCUGCUCUCAGCAAAGCUGAAAAACAGCACGUAAAAUAUCCUCUUUUCUAAACUUUCUUGAAAGGAUAAAAAUGAACAGUCACUAAAAUCACAGAAGAAAAAGAAUGGUUUAAAAACUCCCCCAAGCUAUACCUUCUAUCUCCUCAACACUCAGAGUAUAAAACUCACGCGCUGCCUGAGGGUGGAGCACCCUGGAAGCCACCGUAUGUGACAUCGGCAGAUGGAGAGGCUGCCACUUUUCUGAAAGGGAUCCCAGGGAGGUCGAUUAACCCGUUAGGAAAACCGUCUAAGGGAGAGUCGCCAGUCCCCAGAGACAGAUGCGGAUUUAAGAGGAUGGAGAUAUUAGAGGAUCCCAAGUGGAGACUCACACCCACCAUGAGGCAGAAUCCCUGGUGAACCCACACUUCCUCCUGCCCCCCUCCUGCCCUGCAGACAGGAGUUAACGUGACAGAGGACAGCACUGACUCUGCAGCAACUUUGCCUGUGCGACCAGAGGAGCCUUGCCGCUUUUAAUAGGAAAGCUUCGGUGCCACCCCUCGAGUGGAGGGAGACCUGCUGUAAUAAAUCAGGGCACGAGAUGGCAAAUCUUCCCUCACUUCCACCUCAAAAAGAACCAUCCAGCACUGUUUUAACUGCACCCCAGCACGAUCUCCUUGUGUGUUCCCUGGAGCACUUGUGGUAAUCCUUAUUUGUUUCACAGCUGGUGCAGAAUGAAAUCCAUCCCCGUCAAAUACCCUGCUCUAGGGCAGCUGCCCUCGCUCUUCAGUUUGCAUUGCCUGGCCAAGCUAGCGUGAAGCACACGGUAUUGAUUGGAAAGGCACUACCUAGAUAGACCCUUGAAGGGCAGUCAAAUGAUCACCUACCCUGUAUUUCCUUAUCUCCCCACGUAUAACAGCAAAUACAAUUGAUCAGUAAAUGUCGGAGCGUAGUUUGGGCAAUUAAUGAAUAAAACCUUCUUGGGGAACAUGGUCUACCCCGCCCCUCCCCCCACACACGAAGCAUCUGAGUUGUGAGCCCCUGUGUGACAGACAAAUCACAGCCCUUUCCCCACAGGCUGACUGCCUCUCCUCUUGCCUUGUUUUACAUAGACCCUGCUCUUCAUUUUCGCCUCUGACAGUAAAAACCCCAGGACAAGACUGUCACAAAAAGGAUUAUCUUUCAGAUCAAUGGUGAAAUCGAUUCCAAACUCCACUAUUUAUCAGCCUGCAGCAAAAGUGCAACUGGAUAGGAAAUAUGUCCUCUCUUUUGAAUGCUUGUUUGGUUCAUCUAGGCAACAAUUCACCUCCUUCUACACUGAUGCGGCAGCCUGACUUUUUACCCAUAGAUGCAUAAUCAUAAAGUACACCUCACCGGCCGAAAGCACUCUUUUCAAUAUCCUUUUAUAGGUGAUGCAGAGUCCUUCACGCUCAACUUAAUAUAUUUAUAGUACACAAGGUACAGGUUAUUUUUUUCAGUUAAACUUUCUAACUCUAAAAACGGAGGCUAAAGCAUACACUAAAUGGUAACAGGGCCAAGAGAAACAGCACAUUAGUUAACUUACUUCCACCCUACCUCUUGAUAGAUUUCUGUUCUCCCACAACUCCCCUCAAGUAAUUGUUUUACACCAAAACCCAAGGGAGAGUUUACUAAGAUUACCGACAACUUCACUGACCUACGUGUUAUGUUACCCAUAUAAUUCAAUAGCAAUGGAUUUUAUCAACAUCAACUGGCUUUCACAGGACCAGAAAAUGUAGGCUUUCAGUUCCUUGGUAUAAUUAAAUAAAUUAUUUAAAACUCCUACUCACCUUAGUAAUUCAAAACAUUUUCCUUAAAAAAAGUCUAGAUACUGAAGUGACCUGUAAAAUUGAUUUACAACAGGUUGAUGUAAUUUAUUAAAAAUAAAUUAUCGCAGCCAGAAGUUACCUUAAAGAAAUAUGGUAAAAAAAAAAAAAAAGUCUCUGGAGUUCCCUUCACGGCUCAGUGGUUGACAAAUCUGACUGGGAACCAUGAGGCUGCAGGUUCAAUCCCUGGCCUCGCUCAGUGGGUUGAGGAUCCGGCGUUGCCGUGAGCUGUGGUGUGGGUUGCAGACGCGGCUCGGAUCCCGUGUUGCUGUGGCUGUGGUGUAGGCCGGCGGCUGCAGCUCCAAUUGGACCCCCAGCCUGGGAGCCUCCAUGUGCCAUGGGAGCGGCCCUAGAAAAGGCAAAAAGACUAAAUAAAUAAAUAAAUAAAUAAAAAAGAAAAUGUCAAAAUGAUAUAUUCAUAUCACAGUGCCUUGUACAAACAUUCUGCAAUAUCUACUGUAGACACUUCAAGUUUCUUAAAGCAGAAAUAAAGAUUGACCAAGACUUGCCAAAGGCUUCUAAUUUAAGCAUUCCUAUUUAAGUCAAUUAUUUAGACUCUAAAAUGUAUUUUCUCAUAAAAACGAUUAUAUGCAGUGACAAAAAUUAUAUAUAACUGAAAUGCCACUGAAUUCAAAUGCACAGAUUCAAAGUUUAUUGUGAAUCUUAGAUUCCAAGGCCAUCCCAGCCAAGCCUUUUAUCCAAGACCAGAUGUGCAUUUAGAAAGAUUAAUUAGCUGACAAUGAAGAGAAUGUUCGGCAAAGAAUCAGAACACAUGUGGAUAAAACCAGCUGAUAGAUUAAUCUGUGUGUCAUCCAUCGCCUCUUAAUGAAGUAGGUCAGUCAAGAAAAGAUGGUUGAGGUUGUGAUGAUUGUUGUACAACUAUAAAUGCAAUAAAAUUCAUUGAGUAAUUUAAAUAAAUUCAAAAAAGAAAAAAGAAAAGAUGGUUGACUAGACCAGGCAUGGUUAUGUCAAAAUGGAGACUCAGAGAUGAAAGGUUAAACUGACUCUCCUGAUGAUAGAUUUGAUACUGAGAUAAGAGGAAAGUUGUAAGGAAGAUUGCCAGGUAAAUGGUUGACAGUUAAACCAUCUGAAACAGAAAUAAAUGCUGGAAGAGAACCCAGCUUGGAAAUGGCAGGGUGGGAGAGAGCCCUGAAUUUAACUGGGACACAUGGGGUUUGAAGUGUCUUUGAGACAUGUAACUAUCAAAGUCAUGAAAGCAAACGGUCUCGAGCACAGAGAAGCAGAAAUGUGGAGUAAAAAAUGCCCCCAAUCCCAAGACCUGGCCCUGGAGUGAGUUUUCUGGGAAGAUUACUGUUCGCAACAUGGCUGGGCUCCCAGGGAAAGAAGGACCUCAAAUGAGCACUGGGGCUGAGUAAGCCCAGGAGGAGAAGCUAGAACACAGGACACCCCGCUGGCCAUGCAGUGGCGUCUGAGUAGGAAAGAGGUCUACGACGUGGGCCAGGGGCGCAUCCAGCCCUUUGGGAAUGAAGGUCAGCGGGAUGUGCGUCAGCUGAACGGGGGCUGGGGGACUCAUCUCCACGGGGUUUCCUGGGAGUGGGUGGGUGAUGGCCCUGCCACCCGCCCAGUGCGGCUUCUCCCUGAGAGAACCAGAGCCGUGAUAACACAGCGCGGAAAGAGGCAACGUGGGUGGGAAAGUGGCAGCUUUGAAGCACUUUGCGCAGGGAACAGACACUAGUUCCACCCCCACCACCUCAGGGAAAAAGUUAAAUCUACAAGAGAUGUUAAGGCAAUCUAUUCAAACUCCUUUAGUUUGAUCAAACUUGGUCAUGAAUUUAGAAAAGGGCCAGAAUAGCCAACUUAAGCCAGAGUCCCAUGGUCCCCAGACCGCAAAUGUUUCUGCCAUCCCCCCUGUCCCCAGCUUGCCUUACACUGGUCACCUGAAGGCUUGAAGAACUAGCUCGUGAAAUAAGGGUCAUAAUAAUGAAGGAGGAAAAAUAAAAUAAAAUCAAUGCCUUGCGAAUAAUAACCAAUUUAUUCUUGUCUUUUUGAGGGAGGGGGGGCUGUACCCACGGCAUAUGGAGGUUCCCAGGCUAGGGGUAGAAUCAGAGCUGCAGCUGCUGGCCUGCACCACAGCCACAGCGACAUCAGAUCCGAGCCACAUCUGUGAUACACCACAGCUCACAGCAGCGCUGGACCCUUAACCCACUGAGAGGGGCCAGGGAUCGCAUCUGCGUCCUCAUGGAUACUAGUCGGGUUCGUCUCUGCUGAGCUAUGUCGGGAACUCCCAAACCUAUUUAUACUUCACAGCUACCAUGUGAGGUAGAUCCUGUUGUUGUUCCCGUUUAGUCACUGAGACAGAAAGGUUAUGUAAGUCACCCACAGUUACACAGCUGGCUAUUGGCAGAGGCAGGAUCUGAACCCAGGCAACUUGCUCCAGAAUCCAGGCUCUUAACUAUGACAAAGCAUGGUUCUUUCACAUGAAGGAUUCCAUUUGUUAAAAAAAAAAAAAAAAAAAAA